UGGGGCCAUAUUUCAUGAUAAUGUUAUUCUGUGUUUCCUUGCUGAAGACUGAUAGCGAUUUGUUUGCACAGAAACGUAUAUAUACCGGCUUGGGUUGCAAAUCUCAUCGUAGGGAACAGAUCCAGUCUUCUGCUACGACAACUUUCAUUGGAACAAUGAAGUCUUGCGUUCUUCUUGUGCUUUUGGUGCUCUUUGCCACUCUUGUCAUAGAAGAAACAGCCGGGCAAUUAGGAGCUGCGAGAGCUCCAACGCGUGCUUCGUGCACCUGCUGUAAUCGUAACUCGUGUAGCACCGACAAUGGAUAUUGCUACUGCAGCGGCUGCACCUGUGUUGCAGUCGAUUACCGAAGAUAAAAGAAUAGCCUCCUGUUGAGAGAAACAUGACCAGUUAUGGAAGAAACCAUGAAACUAGUCACUCAGCUAAAUGUAACGCAUUUACUACGUAUUUGGAUAUUUUUUGUGAAUUUUGAGUUUAACAAUAAGUGGUUCUAAUAAAGAUUGUAGUAAAUACACUGUAUUUACUGCAUUA